AUACAGAGGGUGCGAGCGUUAAUCGGAAUUACUGGGCGUAAAGCGCGCGUAGGCGGUUGCGUAAGUCGGAUGUGAAAACUCAGGGCUCAACCCUGAGAUGCCAUUCGAAACUGCGCUGACUAGAGUCCGGUAGAGGAGCAUGGAAUUCCUGGUGUAGCGGUGAAAUGCGCAGAUAUCAGGAGGAACACCAGUAGCGAAGGCGGUGCUCUGGGCCGGUACUGACGCUGAGGAGCGAAAGCAUGGGUAGCAAACAGGAGUAGAAACCCCAGUAGUCC
rnacentral:rRNA from 1 species